CUAUCACCUUUGAGGCGAGGCAACUGCUCCAGAGACUUCGAGAUUUGGGCUAUUUGGGGUCAAGUACUCGUGGCAAGAAAGUGGUAUCAGAUUGAUUUGAGUUUGUUCGAGGAAAUAAUUCCGAGUUAAAAAGUCAAAUUGGAUCUAAAUUGAACAAGUUGGAGCUUUGAAGUCUGAGUAAAAGCCCAAGAUUUAAACCAGGAUCAUGUUCGGAGAUCGAUGAACAAUUCUGGAUAACUAAAAUUGAGAAAAAUUAUCACACUGAGAAAAAAGCACUAUCAUACCGCAUGGGAAGCCGUGUGAGGCGACGUGGCAGUGCAAGUGAAUAUCUCUACUGAAAAUAACUUUUCUCUAAAUUUCUCCAUUUGCGUGACACGUGAGGCGUCAGGCCUAUGCAAAUUGAUAGAGUGUUUUCCCACUUCUGCUAGGAAAGGGUAGUUCUAUCCGGACCCACUUCUAUAUGGUAUAAAUACACCAAAAAUAUGAUUUUGGGAAAACUUUGGACCUAUGAAAGAUCUGAGAAGCAACUAAGGCAAGAAACAAGAUUUCAUCAAGAUUUCAACCAACAAUUAGUGUAAUACGGGUUUUUGUAUUGAAUCAUUAACAUUGAUGUUUUUAUGUCUUUAAACCUUUUUUAGAUGACUUUUUCCGUUGCUAUGAAGUAGUUUUUCCUUAGGGUGUUGACAAACAUGGUGUAUUGAUAAUUUGAUAAGGGAUUCGAUUCUUGAUAAUUUCUUGACUUAAAUGAGGGAGUGUUGAAUUAUAUUGUAAAGUUGUUCA